CGGAGCUAAUACCGGAUAAUAUUUUGAACCGCAUGGUUCAAAAGUGAAAGACGGUCUUGCUGUCACUUAUAGAUGGAUCCGCGCUGCAUUAGCUAGUUGGUAAGGUAACGGCUUACCAAGGCAACGAUGCAUAGCCGACCUGAGAGGGUGAUCGGCCACACUGGAACUGAGACACGGUCCAGACUCCUACGGGAGGCAGCAGUAGGGAAUCUUCCGCAAUGGGCGAAAGCCUGACGGAGCAACGCCGCGUGAGUGAUGAAGGUCUUCGGAUCGUAAAACUCUGUUAUUAGGGAAGAACAUAUGUGUAAGUAACUGUGCACAUCUUGACGGUACCUAAUCAGAAAGCCACGGCUAACUACGUGCCAGCAGCCGCGGUAAUACGUAGGUGGCAAGCGUUAUCCGGAAUUAUUGGGCGUAAAGCGCGCGUAGGCGGUUUUUUAAGUCUGAUGUGAAAGCCCACGGCUCAACCGUGGAGGGUCAUUGGAAACUGGAAAACUUGAGUGCAGAAGAGGAAAGUGGAAUUCCAUGUGU
rnacentral:rRNA from 1 species